CAGUUGAUUCGUUCCCGUACAUGGUGUGUGUUGUUGAUUCCAUUAAAAGUAUUUUGAAUAAAACAUCAUUCAUUACAUUUCGUCAAUGUGAAAUUACCGUAAAAAUACACAAAUUAUAUUAUUAGUUAUAGUGUUACAUUCUAUGCGUUUAUCAAGCCUUUAUUGAUAAAGCAGUAUUAGUACAUUGAAUCUACCCAGAGAGUGAUGCUACAGCUAUAAGUCCAAGUUAUAUUUUAUAUUAAAAAAAUAUUUAUUUAUUCCACAAGAUGUUUUAUACUUAAAAUUACUAUUUGAAAAUAAUUUUUUUAUAUAUAAUUGUGGGAAAAUGUCUGGAGAUUUGAGAUUGUUGAUUUUCCUCGUCACAACAUUUUUAGUAUUUAUUCCAUCA
rnacentral:lncRNA from 1 species